AGUUCGGCAGAGCGGUUUGGUCGUUCGUUGGUGGAGCAUCUGCUCGUUCUGCUCGGCGAUUGCGGCUCUUGUUCGAGUGCUUCCAGCGCCGCCUCGGUCUCAGCAAGGGCCCCAGACUCGGCUUUGGGUGAAAGAAGAUGGCCCGAACCAAGCAGACCGCUAUGAAGUCCACCGGUGGGAAAGACCCCCCCCCCCCCCCCCCGCAAACAGCUGGCCACCAAGGCGGCUCGGAAAAGCGCGCCCUCUACCGGCGGGGUGAAGAAGCCUCACCGCUAUAGGCCAGAAACCGUGGCUCUGAGAGAGAUCCGCUGUUACCAGAAAUCGACUGAGCUGCUCAUCCGGAAGCUGCCAUUCCAGAGAUUGGUGAGGGAGAUCGCCCAGGAUUUCAAAACCGACUUGAGGUUUCAAAGUGCAGCCAUCGGUGCCCUUCAGGAGGCUAGCGAAGCGUACCUGGUGGGGUUGUUUGAAGAUACCAAUCUGUGUGCCAUCCACGCCAAGAGAGUCACCAUCAUGCCCAAAGACAUCCAGUUGGCUCGCCGGAUACGGGGGGGAGAGAGCUUAAGUUGAGGCGGUUUUUAUGGCAUUUUGUAGUAAAUUCUGUAAAAUACUUUGGUUUAAUUUGUGACUUUUUUUGUAAGAAAUUGUUUAUAAUAUGUUGCAUUUGUACUUAAGUCAUUCCAUCUUUCACUCAGGAUGAAUGGGAAGAGUGACUGUUCACAGACCUCAGUGAUGAGCACUGUGGCUCAGGAGUGACAAGUUGCUAAUACGCAGAGGGAUGGGUGAUACUUCUUGCUUUUCAUGAUGCAUGUUUCUGUAUGUUAAUGACUUGUUGGGUAGCUAUUAAGGUACUAGAAUUGAUAAAUGUGUACAGGGUCCUUUUGCAAUAAAACUGGUUAUGACUUGA